UCAAUCUCGUGCGGCUAUAUAUACCGCCGGUCCCUCUAAGAAGAUUCAUAUGAGUACGCCGGUAGUGAAAGUCGCUCGCGACGCACGCGCGCACACCAAAUACCCUCUUGAUACCGGUAGCACGUCUAUUUAAUAGGCUAGAGUUACGUUCGUUAC
rnacentral:rRNA from 1 species